CAUUAAAAUUAUUAGAAGUAGUUAAAUGCAAGAGUUAGUGAGAUUAAGGUUUCAAUGCUAGGGUUUAUGGACUAAAAUUUGGAGAAAUGCAUAAAUGGCAUGUUUAACCUAUUGUGACAUGAAAUAAUGAUCAAUUAGGACCAAAUAAAUUGGAUGGGAAUGGUGGAAAAAUUAGCUAAAUUCGUAGGUCAAUGGUCAUGCUGCUGGCAGCAUGACCAAACCCACUUUGAAGGACCAAAACUCAAAUUUUACAAGUCCAAUUGAUAUUCCACCAAUUGGAGAUGAAAAUAGACAUAAAAGAGCACAAUUUUCAUUAAGGAACCAUGACCAAAAACUGACCAAAACUUGGUGAAACAAUUGACCAAAGUGAAUUGAUUGCAGGCUGCCCUGCACCAAAACUGACCAAAUGAACAGUAACUGUUCAUUUGGUCAUAACUCGAGCUAGGUAGGUCAAAUUGACCUGAAAUUUUACCAGCAAUUAGAUAUGAUAUAGACCUAAAACUUUCAUGAAGAACACCAACCCAAAUUAGGCCAUUAACACAUUCAAAUCAUUGAGCAAAGUUAAAAUUACUGUACUGAAAUUCUGCAGAAUUUUCAUUGAGCAGCAAUGUUUGGAGGGCUAUAACUCUCUCUAGAAAACUCGGAUUUAGGCGAUUCUUGAACCGAUGGAAACCUAAGACAUAGUACAACAUUUCAUAUGAAGAAAGUGAGACCGAAUUAUGAACUUAACUUGAUCAAACAAUUGACCAAAGUUGGACCAAAAAUCUGCCAGCACCUAAAUUGCAGUAUGAACAGUGCACGUGAACAGUAAACUUAUUUUGGCCAUAACUUGAGCUACAAAACUCCGAUUGAGGUGAUCCAAAAAUGAGAAUACACUUAAGACAAUAAGGAACAUUUUCUAUGAAGGAAGUUUUGUCAAAUUCCAACAGUAGAUCGACCAAUGGAAUAGUGCAACUUCGGAAAACCAAAACCGAAAAUUGGCAAUUUUGCCAAAAUGACCUAAGCUUUAAACAAAUGACCAAAACCAACAAGUUUGGUGACCAAAAUGUGGUAUGUGGGUGAAGUUGGAGUUCCCAUACCCAUUAAGCCUUAGAAAGUCAAUAAUUUGACUUGAAUAGUGCAGUGAAUAGUAACCCGAAACACAAAAUUUCGAGAACGUCGAAUUUAACACGUUAGAGCUAGCUAAAUGUGAAGUUAAGUUUAUUUUGGAUUUAUUUUAAGUUCUAGUACUGAAACAUUGUAAAAUUGUGUGUUUCAGUUGAAAAGAAUAUCGGGAAGGAACCCGAGGAACCGAGUCGAGGCUAAAGGACGACUCGUUUGAGAUACAGAGAUUAGAGGAGCAGCAGACUGAGCUGCUGAGGUGUGUGAAGUCAUCAGCUUGAAGCCUUCGGGUAUAAUUUAUACCCUAACUGUAAAUACUUCUUUUGAUGUAUAUAUUGCACAUAAAUGUAUGGACAUGUAAAAAUGGGUCUUGAGCAGCUUGUACACAAAUUUGUAUGAAGUUUGUAAUAAAGUUUAGUUUGUGUUUCUUUUGAUAUAAAUUUGUAAGGUUAUGUAUAAAUUAUUUUGUUUUUAAUGAAAUAUGAAUGAUAUUGAUUGACAGUA